GGGGAACAACAGCUGGAAACGGCUGCUAAUACCCCAUAGGCUGAGGAGCAAAAGGAGGAAUCCGCCCAAGGAGGGGCUCGCGUCUGAUUAGUUAGUUGGUGAGGCAAUGGCUUACCAAGGCGACGAUCAGUAGCUGGUCCGAGAGGAUGAUCAGCCACACUGGGACUGAGACACGGCCCAGACUCCUACGGGAGGCAGCAGUGGGGAAUUUUCCGCAAUGGGCGAAAGCCUGACGGAGCAAUGCCGCGUGAAGGCAGAAGGCCCACGGGUCAUGAACUUCUUUUCUCGGAGAAGAAAAAAUGACGGUAUCUGAGGAAUAAGCAUCGGCUAACUCUGUGCCAACAGCCGCGGUAAGACAGAGGAUGCAAGCGUUAUCCGGAAUGAUUGGGCGUAAAGCGUCUGUAGGUGGCUUUUCAAGUCCGCCGUCAAAUCCCA
rnacentral:rRNA from 1 species